rnacentral:rRNA from 1 species
GAUGAACGCUAGCGGCAGGCUUAAAACAUGCAAGUCGAGGGGUAGCAAGAUUGUAGCAAUACAAUUGUUGACGACCGGCAAACGGGUGCGGAACACGUACACAACCUUCCUACAAGUGGGGAAUAGCCCAGAGAAAUUUGGAUUAAUACCCCGUAACAUAGCGAUGUGGCAUCACAUUGCUAUUAUAGCUUCGGCGCUUGUUGAUGGGUGUGCGGCUGAUUAGAUAGUUGGCGGGGUAACGGCCCACCAAGUCUACGAUCAGUAGCUGAUGUGAGAGCAUGAUCAGCCACACGGGCACUGAGACACGGGCCCGACUCCUACGGGAGGCAGCAGUAAGGAAUAUUGGACAAUGGACGCAAGUCUGAUCCAGCCAUGCCGCGUGAAGGAUUAAGGUCCUCUGGAUUGUAAACUUCUUUUAUAAGGGACGAAAAAAGGUCUUUCUAGAUCGUCUGACGGUACCUUAUGAAUAAGCAUCGGCUAACUCCGUGCCAGCCGCCGCGGUAAAAC